rnacentral:rRNA from 1 species
ACCGGGGGAACUGAAACAUCUAAGUACCCCGAGGAAAAGAAAUCAACCGAGAUUCCCCCAGUAGCGGCGAGCGAACGGGGAGGAGCCCAGAGCCUGAAUCAGCAUGUGUGUUAGUGGAAGCGUCUGGAAAGGCGCGCGAUACAGGGUGACAGCCCCGUACACAAAAGCGCAUGUGCUGUGAGCUCGAUGAGUAGGGCGGGACACGUGGUAUCCUGUCUGAAUAUGGGGGGACCAUCCUCCAAGGCUAAAUACUCCUGACUGACCGAUAGUGAACCAGUACCGUGAGGGAAAGGCGAAAAGAACCCCGGCGAGGGGAGUGAAAAAGAACCUGAAACCGUGU